rnacentral:rRNA from 1 species
CGUCUUAGCAUGCAGUCGGGCGGCAAGGGGGAGCAAUCCCCCCUAGAGCGGCGGACUGGUGAGUAACGCGUGGGUGACCUACCCAGAGGUUGGGGAUAGCCGCUAGAAAUAGCGGGUAAUACCGGAUGUGGUUACGGGGUUAUGACCCUGUAAAGAAAGGGGCUAUGGCCCCGCCUGUGGAUGGGCCCGCGUUUCAUUAGCUUGUUGGUGAGGUAAGAGCCCACCAAGGCGAUGAUGGAUAGCCGGCCUGAGAGGGUGAACGGCCACAUUGGGACUGAGAUACGGCCCAAACUCCUACGGGAGGCAGCAGCUAAGAAUAUUCCGCAAUGGACGAAAGUCUGACGGAGCGACGCCGCGUGGAUGACGAAGGCCGGAAGGUUGUAAAAUCCUUUUGCGGACGAAGAAUAAGCGUGGCAGGGAAUGGCCGCGUGAUGACGUUAGUCCGUGAAUAAGCCCCGGCUAAUUACGUGCCAGCAGCCGCGGUAACACGUAAGGGGCGAGCGUUGUUCGGAAUUAUUGGGCGUAAAGGGCGCGUAGGCGGCCACGCAAGUCUGACGUGAAAUGGCGGAGCUUAACUCCGUCACGGCGUUGGAAACUGCGCGGCUUGAGUCACGGAGGGGCAGCCGGAAUUCCUGGUGUAGGGGUGAAAUCUGUAGAUAUCAGGAAGAACACCGGUGGCGAAGGCGGGCUGCCAGCCGAUGACUGACGCUGAGGCGCGAAAGUGCGGGGAGCAAACAGGAUUAGAUACCCUGGUAGUCCGCACUAUAAACGAUGUGCACUAGGUGUUGGGCCGAGCGGUUCAGUGCCGAAGCGAACGUGAUAAGUGCACCGCCUGGGGAGUAUGCCCGCAAGGGUGAAACUCAAAGGAAUUGACGGGGGCCCGCACAAGCGGUGGAGCAUGUGGUUUAAUUCGAUGAUACGCGAGGAACCUUACCUGGGUUUGACAU